GCGUAACGCGUGGGAAUCUGCCCUUGGGUACGGAACAACAGUUAGAAAUGACUGCUAAUACCGUAUGAUGUCUUCGGACCAAAGAUUUAUCGCCCAAGGAUGAGCCCGCGUAGGAUUAGCUAGUUGGCGGGGUAAAGGCCUACCAAGGCGACGAUCCUUAGCUGGUCUGAGAGGAUGAUCAGCCACACUGGGACUGAGACACGGCCCAGACUCCUACGGGAGGCAGCAGUAGGGAAUAUUGGACAAUGGGGGCAACCCUGAUCCAGCAAUGCCGCGUGAGUGAUGAAGGCCUUAGGGUUGUAA
rnacentral:rRNA from 1 species